AUUGAACGCUGGCGGCAGGCCUAACACAUUCAAGUCGAGCGAGAAAGCAGUUCGGUGUGAGUAGAGCGGCGGACGGGUGAGUAAUGCUUGGGAAUCUGCCCAGUAGUGGGGGAUAACGUGUGGAAACGCACGCUAAUCCCGCAUACGUCCUACGGGAGAAAGCAGGGGAUCUUCGGACCUUGCGCUAUUGGAUGAGCCCAAGUCGGAUUAGCUAGUUGGUGGGGUAAUGGCCUACCAAGGCGACGAUCCGUAGCUGGUCUGAGAGGAUGAUCAGCCACACUGGGACUGAGACACGGCCCAGACUCCUACGGGAGGCAGCAGUGGGGAAUAUUGCACAAUGGGGGAAAGCCUGAUGCAGCCAUGCCGCGUGUGUGAAGAAGGCUCUAGGGUUGUAAAGCACUUUCAGUAGGGAGGAAAUGUUGUUGAUUAAUACUCAACAAUAUUGACGUUACCUACAGAAGAAGCACCGGCAAACUCCGUGCCAGCAGCCGCGGUAAUACGGAGGGUGCGAGCGUUAAUCGGAAUUACUGGGCGUAAAGCGCGCGUAGGUGGUUUGAUAAGUUAGCUGUGAAAGCCCCGGGCUUAACCUGGGAACUGCAGUUAGAACUGUCUGACUAGAGUACAGUAGAGGGUGGCGGAAUUUCCUGUGUAGCGGUGAAAUGCGUAGAUAUAGGAAGGAACAUCAGUGGCGAAGGCGGCCACCUGGACCUGAUACUGACACUGA
rnacentral:rRNA from 1 species